rnacentral:piRNA from 1 species
UAAUCCUUCAGAGUAAAGCUAGUGGC